rnacentral:rRNA from 1 species
UGCAAGUCGAGCGGUAACAGGGGUAGCUUGCUACCCGCUGACGAGCGGCGGACGGGUGAGUAAUGCAUAGGAAUCUGCCCGGUAGUGGGGGAUAACCUGGGGAAACCCAGGCUAAUACCGCAUACGUCCUACGGGAGAAAGGGGGCUCCGGCUCCCGCUAUUGGAUGAGCCUAUGUCGGAUUAGCUAGUUGGUAAGGUAAUGGCUUACCAAGGCAACGAUCCGUAGCUGGUCUGAGAGGAUGAUCAGCCACAUCGGGACAGAGACACGGCCCGAACUCCUACGGGAGGCAGCAGUGGGGAAUAUUGGACAAUGGGGGGAACCCUGAUCCAGCCAUGCCGCGUGUGUGAAGAAGGCCCUCGGGUUGUAAAGCACUUUCAGCGA